AAACCAUGAUGAGGACACCUCCUUUGUAACUCCUUAAACCUUUUCCAAGCUUUAUAAAGUGACUCAUCAUCAUUUUAGUAGAAACUAGCAAUUUGCUGUUUUAUUUU
rfam:Ricinus communis cultivar Hale ctg_1100012362399, whole genome shotgun sequence.